CCUACGGGCUGCAGCAGUAGGGAAUCUUCGGCAAUGGACGAAAGUCUGACCGAGCAACGCCGCGUGAGUGAAGAAGGUUUUCGGAUUGUAAAACUCUGUUGUUAGAGAAGAACAAGUAGGAGAGUAACUGCUCUUACCUUGACGGUUUCUAACCAGAAAGCCACGGCUAGCUACGUGCCAGCAGCCGCGGUAAUACGUAGGUGGCAAGCGUUGUCCGGAUUUAUUGGGCGUAAAGCGAGCGCAGGCGGUCUUUUAAGUCUGAUGUGAAAGCCCUCGGCUCAACCGAGGUAGGUCAUUGGAAACUGGAGGACUUGAGUGCAGAAGAGGAGAGUGGAAUUCCAUGUGUAGCGGUGAAAUGCGUAGAUAUAUGGAGGAACACCAGUGGCGAAGGCGACUCUCUGCUCUGUAACUGACGCUGAGGCUCGAAAGCGUGGGGAGCAAACAGGAUUAGAUACCCCCGUAGUC
rnacentral:rRNA from 1 species